rnacentral:lncRNA from 1 species
GCCAAACUACAUCUUUUUUUCUGGACUAUUUUAUUCCUCAGUCUUGACCCCAAAUCCAACUUUCUGGGCCGAACCCAUGACAUCAUAAUCUGUCUGUUGCCAUCGACACAAACAGAAGUCCUAGGUGUGGAGGCAUGGCAGAGCUGUCAGAACACCUGGGGUCGACAUCCGACACUCUGUGUGAUUUUGGACAAGUUCCCACUCCUCUCGGAGCUGGUUCCUCAUCUGAAAAAUGAGGUUGCAAUACCUACCUCUGAGAUGGGGAGGGGAUCGAAUAAAAUAAGAGGUGUCAUAGCCCCGAGGAAGCGAGAAGUAAUUCCUUCAACAGCUACUCAGGAAGCACCUGGCACUGUUGCUGUCAAACAGGACGAAAAAAGGACCCGCCCUCUUGGAGUUUCCAUUCGAAGGGGGCAUUUGCACUGGAGUUAUUUGCCGGACCAGCUCUUCCUGAAGGAGCCUGUCUCUAUUUGUGAAACCACCAAGUUCCCCAUCACGUCAGAACCUCAGGAUCGUCUCUGACAGGGCAUUUUGGACACUCACUGAGAGAACUGAUGUAAAAAAAGCUCUGCAGAUGGGGAGGAUUACAACAAAGCUCUCGUGGAUGAGAGAGGCAGAAUUUCAUUUCAGCUUCACAGGAUUGUUCGAUCCUCACUGGGGAGGAGGUAACUUCUUUGGCAUGAGAGUUGAUGUGACACUGAGAUGAGAGGAAUAGGUGAGCAAAGCCUGUUUGGCGACCAGGAAGAAGAGUUGUGGGAACCAGUACCUCAAGAACUGGAGAAAAUUCUGGACCUUCACAAUUAUUACCACCAAACACUACCAACUGCCAUCACCAAGCUUCAACAAUCUCUCCCUUAGACAGCUAUCCAUUAUGGAAAUACCUGCUCAGCAUGGUUCUUCCUAAAAAUGUUGCUCUAUAUCAUGACAGUCAUUAUACACUACCUCCCAACGGGAUCUGUUUGGUUAUUUUAACUGUGUUUCUAUUGGCAGUGUAUAAGAUGAAACACCUUCUAAUUAGUCUUGAACAUCCCCCUGAAGAUAUUUACCAGUUAUCCAUAGCUAUGUAACAAACCAUCCAAAACUUAGUGGCUUAACACAACCAUUUAUUUAGCUCAUGAUUCUGUGGGUUGGCAAGUUGGGCUAUCCUCAAGUGGGCGGUUCUCCUGCUGGUCUUGGCUGGGUUUACUCAUUUGUCCAUGUAUACUGUGGGUCAGCGGGGAAGCUCUGUUUCUGGGGGUCAGCUGGCUGUCA